UACGGAGGGUGCAAGCGUUAUCCGGAUUCACUGGGUUUAAAGGGUGUGUAGGCGGGCUAUUAAGUCAGCGGUGAAAUCUCCGGGCUCAACCCGGAAACUGCCAUUGAUACUAUUAGUCUUGAAUAUCGUUGAGGUAGGCGGAAUAUAUCAUGUAGCGGUGAAAUGCGUAGAUAUCGGGAGGAACACCUGAGGCGAAGGCGGGCUACUGGGCCGAUACUGACGCUCAUGCACGAAAGCGUGGGGAGCAAACAGG
rnacentral:rRNA from 1 species